rnacentral:rRNA from 1 species
AUUGAACGCUGGCGGCAGGCCUAACACAUGCAAGUCGAGCGAGCGGCGGACGGGUGAGUAAUGUCUGGGAAACUGCCUGAUGGAGGGGGAUAACUACUGGAAACGGUAGCUAAUACCGCAUACCAUCAGAUGUGCCCAGGUGGGAUUAGCUAGUGGGUGGGGUAACGGCUCACCUAGGCGACGAUCCCUAGCUGGUUUGCGAGGAUGACCAGCCCAACUGGAACUGAGACACGGUCCUGACUCCUACGGAAGGCAGCAGUGGGGAAUAUUGCACAAUGGGCGCAAGCCUGAUGCAGCCAUGCCGCGUGUGUGAAGAAGGCCUUCGGGUUGUAAAGCACUUUCAGCGGGGAGGCGUUACCCGCAGAAGAAGCACCGGCUAACUCCGUGCCAGCAGCCGCGGUAAUAC